CCUGACACACUGAAAACCCUAAUGCCCAGAAACCUUUGACUAUAACAAUCAAAGUACAAUUAAAUAUAAACUAUAAUAAGAAGAAUACCUAUAGUGCUAAUCUAAUUUUUUUGAGGUAUCUAAAUAUCCACCCUCUAAUAGUGAUCCAUAUGAAAAUUAGACCAAAGACAACACUCCUCCUUCACCUUGCUUCAAGAGUUCUAGCACCUAGAAUUUGACUAGCCC
rnacentral:lncRNA from 1 species